AUGGUGAGGUUUGGGUCUGCACAGAAAGUGAGGCAAGGAUGGAGCAGUCACAUUCCUGCCCAGUUCUGUUGCCUAGCCCCAAUGUCUGCUGCCAGUCCCAGAUGGGUGCUUCCCCAUGGCGUGCCUAGGGGCUGCCCAUGCCCAGGGUGCCGGGUACCCACAGAGCAGGAUGCCCUUUGCAUGGUCAGGAGUGUGUGGCACAGGGUGCAGAGUGGGCAGGGUCCUCAAAAGUGCAGUGUCCACAGGGCAGGGUGCUUUCAGUGCAAGGUACCCACAAUGCAGGGGGUGUGUGCUAGCAGGGGGCCCGCAGUGCAGGAUGCUCUUGAGUUAGGGUGCCUGCAGUGCAGGGAGCUUCCCAGGCAGUGUAUGUGUGCUGCAGGGUGCCCACAGUGCAGGCUGCUUGCCAUGCAGCGACCACAGAGGGGGGUGAACACAGUGCAGAGUGGGAUGCUCUUGGUGUGGGGGUGCCCAGGGCACGUGGUGUGUGCAUGGCACGGGGUGUGUGGGGGCUGGCAGUGCCAAGGACACUGGUGUGGGGUGUUUGCUCUUGGCUUGCUGCAAAGUUCAGGACAGCACCAUCUCAACAGCUUCCUGUCGCAGCAGUACAUACAGCCGGCAGUGCAAAACCACAGUCAUCCUGCUCUGACUCGGCCUUGCACUGAGCAGGCUGUGAUUGCUCUUGAGAGCAUCCGGUGUCCUGCCAGCACAGGGACACCAGCGGCAAGAGAGCAGGGGCAGGGGAAAUGGGUUCUGCAGGGCUGUGCCAGCACGGAGGCUGUGGGAGCUGGUGCGAUGUGUGAGCUGCUUGUCCUUGGCUACAGGAUGCUGGGUCCCUGGCAGGAUGCAGCCUCUUGCCCUGAGGUCUCAGGGGACUAUGUCUCUCCCAUCCCUCCUCCCUCUCAACGCCCUCCCCCCCAAAGCUGCAGUCACCCAGCCAGAAACAUUGCCAAGGGCCUCUGCCACCACGGGUUUACUGUCCAGGUACUGGGGGGGGGGGAAGGGGGGCACAGCAUGAUUACAAGGGCAUGA
rnacentral:lncRNA from 1 species